GGGACACUAGAGGUGGACAGUGUUGAUGAUCUUCUUGGUGCUUCCAUGAUUCCAGAGGCAAAUGCUGAGCUUCUAUUGAAUGCCCCCCACAGCAGUGCUCUGCAGGGCAUGGCCUUACCAAAGCUGACACUCAGCCAAGUCCUCACAGAGGGCCUUCCUGCUGAGCCCUUGGCAGCAUCCUCCCCUCCAAGGCCAUUCCUCUCCCCCUCUGGCAGUUACUGGCAGGACCAGG